rnacentral:rRNA from 1 species
GACGAACGCUGGCGGCGUGCCUAAUACAUGCAAGCCGAACGCUUCUUUCCUCCCGAGUGCUUGCACUCGAUUGGAAAGAGGAGUGGCGGACGGGUGAGUAACACGUGGGUAACCUACCCAUCAGAGGGGGAUAACACUUGGAAACAGGUGCUAAUACCGCAUAACAGUUUAUGCCGCAUGGCAUAAGAGUGAAAGGCGCUUUCGGGUGUCGCUGAUGGAUGGACCCGCGGUGCAUUAGCGAGUUGGUGAGGUAACGGCUCACCAAGGCCACGAUGCAUAGCCGACCUGAGAGGGUGAUCGGCCACACAGGGACUGAGACACGGCCCAGACUCCUACGGGAGGCAGCAGUAGGGAAUCUUCGGCAAUGGACGAAGUCUGACCGAGCAACGCCGCGUGAGUGAAGAAGGUUUUCGGAUCGUAAAACUCUGUUGUUAGAGAAGAACAAGGACGUUAGUAACUGAACGUCCCCUGACGGUAUCUAACCAGAAAGCCACGGCUAACUACGUGCCAGCCGCCGCGGUAA